GAUAAAACGCUGGCGGCACACAUAAGACAUGCAAGUCGAACGGACUUAACCAAUAUGUUUACAUUUUGGAGCGGUUAGUGGCGGACUGGUGAGUAACACGUGAGCAACCUACCUAAGAGAGGGGAAUAACAGUGAGAAAUCAUUGCUAAUACCGCAUAUCCUGUAAUUAUCGCAUGAUAGAUACAGAAAAGGAGCAAUCCGCUUUUAGAUGGGCUCGCGCCUGAUUAGCUAGUUGGUAAGGUAAUGGCUUACCAAGGCAACGAUCAGUAGCCGGACUGAGAGGUUGAACGGCCACAUUGGGACUGAGAUACGGCCCAAACUCCUACGGGAGGCAGCAGUCGGGAAUAUUGCGCAAUGGAGGAAACUCUGACGCAGUGAUGCCGCGUGUAGGAAGAAGGUUUUCGGAUUGUAAACUACUGUCAACAGGGAAGAAAAAUGACUGUACCUGUGGAGGAAGCUCCGGCUAACUAUGUGCCAGCCGCCGCCGUAA
rnacentral:rRNA from 2 species